GAUGAACGCUGGCGGCGUGCCUAAUACAUGCAAGUCGAGCGAACAGACGAGGAGCUUGCUCCUCUGACGUUAGCGGCGGACGGGUGAGUAACGCGUGGAUAACCUACCUAUAAGACUGGGAUAACUUCGGGAAACCGGAGCUAAUACCGGAUAAUAUAUUGAACCGCAUGGUUCAAUAGUGAAAGACGGUUUUGCUGUCACUUAUAGAUGGAUCCGCGCCGCAUUAGCUAGUUGGUAAGGUAACGGCUUACCAAGGCGACGAUGCGUAGCCGACCUGAGAGGGUGAUCGGCCACACUGGAACUGAGACACGGCCCAGACUCCUACGGGAGGCAGCAGUAGGGAAUCUUCCGCAAUGGGCGAAAGCCUGACGGAGCAACGCCGCGUGAGUGAUGAAGGUCUUCGGAUCGUAAAACUCUGUUAUUAGGGAAGAACAAAUGUGUAAGUAACUAUGCACGUCUUGACGGUACCUAAUCAGGAAGCCACGGCUAACUACGUG
rnacentral:rRNA from 1 species